GAUGGCGUUGCGCGACGCGGCGCACGCGGCCGGCCGCUGAUACCGGCAGCCGAUGUGGAUGGAGCGGCGGCGCGUGUCCCACGCGCCGUUUUUU
rnacentral:tRNA from 1 species